UGAAGAGACAGCUGGGACUGGUCUUGGUCGAAAACCUUCUCCUUUGUAAGAUAUCGCAAAAUGGUGGUCUGUGUCUUGGAGUCGAAGUAUUGCAGGAGGAGAGGUUUCUUAGUCCCCGGGCCGGAGAAGAGGUGACCAUGUCCUGCACACAGAAUGACCAGAGCUACAUAACUAUGCUUUGGUACCAGCAGAAGAAGGACGGAGGGAUGAAGCUUAUUGUUUAUUCUACAGGAAAAGAUAACUCUGAAAUUGAAGAUAAGGAAUAUCAAGAUAAAUUGGUUUUGGAACGACCGGAUAUUUUGGAAUCCAAACUGAAGUUAAAGAAUGCUGCAGUCCAGGACUCUGCCAUAUACUUCUGUGCGUCUAGUACACAGUUACACACCACAGACCAAGAGCCAGCCAAAAACCUUUAGCAGAACUUCUAAUUUCCGCCAACAGGAGGUGCUCAUU